UUUUUUUUUUUUUCUCCUGACGGGAAAUGUGUAUGUAUUCUUGAAACUAUAAACUACCCAUGCUUUGGAACCUAAAUUACAGAAAAUAACAGUUAAAAAAUAUGAAAAAUGAUCAACUAGUAUUUUUCUUUUUACUUUGAAUGAGGUAUUUCUUUAAAAAUGUCUCCCCCUGCCCCUCCCCCGACCCUGCAGGUACUCCAACCAGCCUUCAUCAGCAGUCAUCGCCGGCGAGUUUGCCUCCGAUCCUACCGCAGAAAUCCUUCAAAUCCACUCUCUCCUCCCCUCUUCCGUCUUCCUCCUUCUCUCCAUCCUUCCCUCUUGACUCUAUUGCCGCUUCUUCCCCCCCGCCUGGUUUCUCCUCUGUCAAUCAGGUGUUUUUGGUGCUAGAAAAAGACCGUUGUGUCGCUUUAUGCUCGAUUUGGCAGUUUUCGCUGAUUGGGAAAGUCAUUGGAAAAUCUUUCUCCGUGUCUUUUCUGAAAGAUCUUCUGAAGAAAGCUCUUGUUCAUUGUUCUGAUUGGGAUUUUCUCCUUCUGGGUAAAGGCUUCUUCUUGCUUAAGUUCAAGUCUAAUGAAGAUUUGCAAGCCACUCUUGAGCGUGGACCGUGGAAAAUUGGUAGGUUUCCUUUGAUUUUGAAACUUUAGGAACCAUGUUUCAGGCCGUCAGACGCGGUCAUUGACUCAGCGGUGCUGUGGGUUACGUUGCCAGAACUACCGGUGGAGUUUUAUGAGAAGGACAUUCUAAUGGGUAUUGGUAAUUCCCUAGGUAAGCUAGUCAAGAUUGAUGUCAAGACGUUGGAUAGGGGUAGAGUUCGCUUUGCAAGAUUGCUCAUCCAGUUUGAUAUGUCAAAACCUUCCUCUUCUGCAAUCUGGAUUGGUAAAUUUCUCCAACCAAUCCAAGUUCAAGAUGCCUCAAAAUUCUGUAAAGUCUGCAAAAGUUAUGGUCAUUGGAGUUUGGAUUGUAAGAGAGUUCAACCUAGAAGUAAUGCAGGGCUUUUCUCUAAAUCCGAUCACAACCCGUCGGAAAACAAUGAUGGUUGUGUGUCGGUCAAAGAGAAAGCCGGGAAAAAGCAUAAGGUGGCGCCACCUAAUUAGGAGGCGGUGCAACGAGGUGGACCCACGAAAAUUUGGGUGGAAAAAAGAAAACAAGAUUCGACCCUGGUUGAGCGCCAUAUUUCUGUUUUGGGAAAUGAUAAUUUGAAUUUUGAAUUUCCUGCAUCAAACACACGUCACCUCUCUUUGCCACCUCAGAUAGUUCCAGCUGGUUCCCACUCACUUUCUCUAGACUCUUCUUCUUCUCCCUCUAGUCAAACCAGUCCACACUCUCUCUCUUCCAUCCCUAUCUCAAAAAAUCCUUUCUACUCUCUCGCCUAACUCCCUCUUUUCGGACGAAAAUGGUGUCCAAUUAUGCGACCUACAACUCAUCUCCAGCUCGGGACUUGUUUCACCCAUCGAGAAACCCCGACCACUCUCCAUCUUCAACCCCGACCAGCACUCCGAACCCAUUGGCAUCUCUGCCAUGGACACCGCCGUCUCCUCUACCUUACUUGGAACACCCACAUGGUGGAUCUAGCCCCCCCGGAAACCGGAAUUUCAGAUCUGAACCUAAACAACAUCCAAUUUAUGCUAGAAUCGCUAGAUUGAGAAGAUGUAAGGAUCGUUCCCUCAGAAAUUCUCCGUCACCUGAUCAUGAAUUCGUCGGUUGUCCCGGAGGAAUGGAAAGAGCUGAAAAUGCUUUCGAAUCAAGGAGAUUUGCUUCCUGCCCACCUCCCAAAUAUGGCAGAUCUGAAUUUUCUGUCGGAAGAAGUGAAGCAAUUCUUUUCCUGGAGAAUAGAACAACUAGCUUUGGAGAACUCCGUGAAUAUUAUCCCCCCAGAAUUUGCUUCUUUCUGGAACCUCCACCGGUAAUUCCUCGUCAUAUAGAGAUGAUUCAAAUGCAAUUCCUUACUGUCACAAUGUAAACAAGAAAUUGGACGAAUUUCAUGAAAGUGGUCAAAGCCAGAAGAAGGGAACGCCAAAUUCAGUGGAGUGUGUGUUGGGAGUUCGUAGGAGCUCAAGGGCUCGAAAGAUCAAUAAGUCUAUCCUUGGAGCCGAGGCACUACAUUUUAUUCGAUUCGACAACUGGUCAAGAUCGAGAGUAUCUGAGAGAUCUACCAAGCGGGGAAGUAGAUCCCUUUCCUCUCCCCCCAAUAAUCCGUGAUAUGUCGAUUCUCUAUUGGAAUGAGAGAGGGAUAGCGAGAAUGUCCUUCUUGAGAAAUAUUAGGCUUUUGAUUCAGCAACACCAGUCGCACAUGCUUGUUAUUUCUGAAGUUCGAGUGGGAAGGUUGGAUACCGACAAGAUUGUUCGUAAACUCACCUAUGAUGAAUGGUUAAUGGUGGAACCGGCUGGGCUGUCUGGAGGAAUCGUCGUUCUGUGGCGGUCGGACUAUGUGUCCUUUGAACCCACAAGAACAACGAGUCAGGGCAUCCAUGGUAUAGUUCAGGUGUAUUCGUGAUUGAACUUUGAAAGUGCGAAGUGUUGAUUGAUAUUCGGAAUUAAGGUACGUUAUGUGGUUAGAUACCUUCGAAAGUUGAUUAUGAAACUACAUUUUAUGAUCGUAUGAAAUUAUAAUCUAUUCCGUAUGAAAUUAUAUUUGUGAAACUAUAAAUUAUGUUCCGUAUGAAACUAUGAUUUAUUAUGAAACUAUAAAUUAUUAUGUUCCGCAUCAAAUCAUAUUUUAUUACAUUCCGUAUGAAAUCAUGUUUUAUGAAUUUAUGAAAUUAUGUUCCGUAUUAAAUUAUGAAAUUUUGUUGGAUUGAAUUAAAUGAUUUGGAUUUAAAUCAAAAGGGCCUUAAAUUGUGAUUGGAAAUUAUUGGAAAUGAUUUGCAAGUUUGUUGUUAUGUAAGUGUGAUGGAUUUUUAAAGACGAGUUUUUAAACAAAUCAAUCGAUAUGUUGAAUCCCACUUAGGGAAUGGUUUAGAGAAGACUAUGGACUUUGCAUGACCUAGUCUUUCCUCAAGUUUGGCCUUUGAUUAUAAAGUAAACCACUUGGGGGGUGUGCACACUUAGUGAGGAAUUGGUUUUGGAACGUAAUCAAUUGAGUUUUAAACUUGUCUUGAAAGCAUUGAUUUGGAAAAGCUCUUACAUGAGUAUGGCAUUGGAAUUCUUAUGAAUUAAACUUAAAUGAUUUAAAUUAUGUUUUACUUAUCUUACACAUAAUCUACUUAGCUUAAUUUGCUAAUACGUGCUUUGGUUUUGGCUUUGCCCUGUUUACCAUUUAUGGUAAGCAGGUGAACUUUUCAGGUGGAAGUUAAUUGAUGCAUACGGGAGUCCACGGGAAUUUCACCUAGCUUAGGAAAAGUUUGACUUUGUUUUGUGUCAGAAAUUAUGAACAAGUUUAUUUAAAGUUUUAUUAAUAAGAAUAAAGAAUUUUCCGCUGCAAAAGUAUUUUUAAAGUAUAAGCCUUGCGUUAUCACGCGGCGGUAAUACGCCCAAGUCUAUCUCUGCGGUAUUUAUACACAUUCCGUAGAGGGAGAUUUGGGGGUGUUACAAUGGCGCAGGUCUUAGAACUGCGUCAAUGUGAACUUCAGAAAACUCCAAGGGACCAGCCGACCCGAAAACCCCGCCUACGGAUUAGAAGAAACAGAGAAGGGAUUAGUGUAAGUCUCCCCAAAAUAUUGACUCACAUAGUGAUUAAGUUCGCUAGAGGCAGGAGCAGCCCCACCUUAAGAAAUUCAGCGCUGUAACUGGCUCAGAAUGGCCAGAGGCUGAAGCAAGCAACUCGUCCACAGUAGGGACUCUAUCCCUCUUGGGAGAAGGCUCACGUGGAGGAGAAACCGGCUCCAAGUCAAUAACAGGAGUAGGGCCUCCUCUGCCUGAAGUAUUAGGCGCAAGCCCACCACCGGCGACGGCUGCGCAGACGAUCGCGAUAUGAUCGUGGUUGAGAAAUAGGGCUGUGAGUCACCACAACACCAGAAAAUGCAGAGGUAGGAAGUUCAACAGUUAAUCCUGCGGCUAUAAGAAUUUCGGGCAGAACAUGCCCGGUAGAAACAAAGGAUGGGAGAGGUCAACUCUUAGAAAGAGGAGGCAGACCUUCAUUAGUGGAGGGCAGAACAUGCCCAAUAGAAAUAGAACCCUACGGCUCCUGCCUAGAGGAUACAUCAACUUGCAUAGGCUUAGAGCCCCCACCUCUGGGGCACCGAAAGAGGCAUCAAUGAACAAAAAAUGCGCAAACUCAUCGUUUCUGUGACCUGUAAGGUCAGAAGUUUCAUUAACAUCAGUGAUUUCACGAGUGUAGGCCUUAUCCUUAUCCACAUUGACAGUCUGGGCUGUCCACCGACCGGAGGCCGCAGCCGAAGCAUUCGGCGCCACCAAAGACCUAGACUUCUGGGGAGAAUCAGCAACCCCCUUAACUUGUUCACUACCAGCAGUAUAAGCUUCAGGCUCAACCUCUGCUCGAACAGUGGGAGUAGAACGCGCGGAGGUACCAGCAGUAGCAGCAUUACACCUAAACUCAGCAGGGAGAAGGACGCGUCUUGCCCAAACGGGCAGCAGCGUAAACCUCUAACACUUCAAGGGGGAAGGGAGGAUACCCUGGAGUCUUAACAAAAGGCUUCCAGGUAUCAUCCAUGCCCAGCAACGAUUUGUCUUAAUUUAUCAUAACUUGUGAAUUAGAGAAAUGCAAGUCAAUCGCAGUAUUACAGAGAGCAAAGCAGAAAAAAAAAAAGAUAAUGGCAAAUCAAAAGGGAGAAUUUUACCUGACUCGUGUGUUGAGCACAGGCGCAUGGCAGAAAACUCAGAAUUUCCUAUAACAUAUAUUCCAUUAGGAAGCCACGUCUUGGGAGCAUAAGACUCACCCUCAAAGUGAUCAAAGGCCCGAGCUUCUUUAGCAGCAUCAACCACCAGCAGAGUAAUACCCCCCAUAUUCGACCUGACGUGGCAACAAGAGCAGGGGGCAGCCAAAAUGGGCAGGAACUCGCAGCCAAAAGAACAUCCCUUGCCAGUCCUUAAAGCGACCCAACUUAGGGUAAGACAAAACUCUUUUAGGCUUGGGCGCAAGAUAAAACCAGCUAGAGUCAACACCAGAAGCACUCCGUUUAAAUCUAAACGGUUGGUGAAAUAAAGAAAGAGACUCUGGAAAAGGUUUGAAGCGCACUGUCCAGAGCAGGCAUAUCAAAGUGUGCAAAGACGCAGGCAAAAUCAGAGAGAGGAAUAUUGAAGGCACGCAACAACUUGUCUAAAGUUGGAUCUAAAGGAAACCUCAGCCCAACAUCCAGCUGAGAAGCAAAGACAACAAUGUGACCCGCUGGAGGAUAGGCAAGGCUGGACCCAGCUUUGGGCAGCACCAACUCAUAGCCCUCUCCCAGCCUAUAGAAUGUUUUAUCGCAUUCAACCAACUUUAGACGGGCAACCAGCAUCCGCCAGUUUGAGCUUAGGAUGCAAAGACGAGGACCAUCAACUUUAUCAUCCAAAUAAAAGGUAAAGUCACCUAGAGGGACCACCUCGUCCACAUACCAAGGUUGGCAGGCAUUCAGAGCAGCAUCACAAGAAGAGAGAGGCUGGGGGCAGCCAUUGGAAUAUCGGCAAAAGAGGAGUUGCGCUCUACAUGAUGAUCAAAACGGUGCACAUCAGAUAUAUCAUCUAGCCAAGCAAAUUCAUGCAAGGGAAACACAUCAGGAAAUGGACUUUUAGGGGCAUCGGUAGGAAGGGUUAGCUUUAACCUCCGCUGCCAGUCGCGUAUGACGGGCGGCCCGCAGCUGCAAACGCAGCAGGUGAGGCAACGCAUCCCCCUGGUCAUCAAGACCCUCUCGUAAUAAGGGUCAAAAGUGUCGCUACGCACCCUACCACGAAGAUAGGGGCGGAACGUGCAAGGUCAGCAAAAGAAGCAGAAGCGCCAGCGGUAGACUCAAUCCCCGAUGAAGUAUUACUGGGAUGAGGAAAUAUAACUUGAAGGGGAGGAUAGGAAAUAGGAGGAAAAGGAUCAGAUGGCCUAGAUGGCUCACCUGAGCGAGUCGACUUGGAGGAAGAAGUAGACUCAGACUCGCCAUCAUCACCGUAACAAUGGGCGGAAUCAUUCUGACUAUCAAAAGCGUCCGACAUGACCAGAAAAAAGAUCUGAACUUGGAAAACAUGGAAAGAACAAGAAUUUCCAAUAAGGAAACGAAACAAGAAGAAAGGAAAAAGAAAAAGGAGCGACAAAAGAGCAAAUUAAAAAAUGAACAGUAUAAAUAUGCGCAGGGGCAAAGAAAUUACAACAACAACAGGACAAAAAUCGAUCUUUAAACAAAGAGGAAGUGUACAGGAACAAAUUAACAACACAUAAGGAAAAAAGGAACAAUCUUUGAGAAAGAAUAAACUAAAUUCAGCGAAGGAAGUAUGAAAAUGGUGAAGGAAUGGGUUAAAGACAGUACCUUUUUGAUGAACGAGCAACAAACGGGGGGCAAUCAGAGCAAAAUUCACGGCGAGUGGCACCUGAGCAAAAUUGCAGAGUUUAGAGUGAAGGAAAUGAGAGAGAAGAAGCUGGAAGAACGAACAAAAGAUAAAUAACUGUGAAAUGAUAGGAGAGUAAAUGAGAGAAGAAAGAGAAAGAAAAAUUUCAAAGUUAAAAUACGAAUGGGAAUGAUAGAAGCGCGAAAUACAAAGGGAAAAUAAAGAAAGGGAAUUGAAUACCGAACAUUAAAUGGCAGUUACCUAUCCAACUAAGGGAGAUAACCACCCACGAUGCGCAACCACGUCAAAAAAAAAAAAAAACAAAAAAACAAACAAGAGGUACUAACUUAACCAUCGGAGGGGGGUUCCUCGAAGCCACCCCCGAGGGCAUAACCACCGUUAUUGUGCAGGUGACUUUCGACUGACGUUCAGGCCAGACUCCCAGCCAGGUUCUGGAGCUACCCUGGAACAAAAGGGUAGUAAGGGUUGGUUUAUUCUGAAAUUGGACUUAGAGAAAGCUUAUGAUAAGAUUGAGUGGGUCUUUCUGAAAAAUGCUCUUUCUUUCUCCGGGCUAGACACUCCUUCUAUUGAGUUGAUCAUGUCUUGUGUUUCAUCUGUGUCCUCUUCUAUUCUGGUUAAUGGUAUCCCUACUGAUAGCUUUAAGCCUUCUAGGGGCAUCCGGCAGGGAGAUCCCUUAUCUCCCUAUUUGUUCAUCAUUUGUAUGGAGGUCCUUUCCCAACUUAUACAUAAAUAGGUUGAGAGUAAGACUUGGACUCCUUUUUGUAUGGGAAGGAAACAAGUUCCCAUCUCUUAUCUCCUUUUUGCCGAUGACAUUAUCCUAUUUGGUGAAACUUCUAUUGAAAACAUCCUCUCUCUCAAAGAUACUCGAUACGUUUUGUGCAUUCUCUGGUCAGACCAUUAGUGUUCAAAAAAGUAGGGUUCUUUUCUCUAAAAAUACUUCCCAAGGUGACAAAAGUUUGUUCUGUGAUGCUAUGGGCUUUAGAAAAACUGAUGAUCUCAGCCCCUAUUUGGGUUUCCCUAUUUCUGCUAUUAGACCUUCCAAGAACAAAUUCAAAUUCAUUUAUGAUAAAAUUCUCAAAAAACUUGAGCUCUGUAAGUCUUCAAUGCUUUCUAAGGCUGUUAGACUUUGCCUAGUUUCUCCUACCCUUAACACUCUCCCUAAUUACUACCUCUAAUGCAUGAUGCUUCCUAUUUCGGUUUUGAACCAGUUAAAUAGUUUUUUGGCUAAGUUUUUAUGGGGGAAGGGUAAAGAGUCAAGAGGUAUACAUCUAGUUGGUUGGGACAGAAUUGCUGCUCCUAAGAGUGAGGGAGGUCUAGGUAUCAGAUGUUUUAAGGCCCUUAAUAAAGCCCAUAUGUUGAAAUUGUGGUGGAGAAUGCUUAAUCAAGAGAGCAAUCUGGCUGUCCAGAUCUUGAAAGAUAAGUACUCUAAGCCCAAUAACUUUUUUCGAUCCUUUUCUUCUAGUUCCCACCUUUGGAGAAGCAUGGGUAAGGUGUGGGAGUUGUUCAAAUCCCAUAUUCAGUGGGGUGUUGGGAAUGGGGUGGAUAUCUUUACUUGGUCUGAUAAUUGGAUUGGGCUGGGUCCUCUUAGAAGCUUAAUUCACUGCCCCUUAUAGAGAGGAGAGGAGAGUAUCAUGCUUGAUGAGUGUUUAGCUAACUCCCAAUGGGACUUCUCUAAUAUUUCUUUUGAGCUUCCCGAGGAUAUUGUUAAUGCCUACCUGAGUGUCCCUAUCUCUAUGGCUGAUCAAGAUUGUCAUGACUUUAUUUUUUCAACUCUUACUUUGAAUGGAAAAUUUUAUUUCAAGCAAUCUGUUAAUAUCUUUUGUAAUAAUAAAAUUAAUAAUAAUGAGGUGAUCAUGAACUUGAUUGGAUUUGGAGCCUUAAAACAGCCCCUAAGAUAAAAAAUUUUGUGUGGCUUUGUUACUUGGAUAGACUUCCUCACAAGGUUACCUUGUUUAAGAGGAACAUCACCAAUUUGGAUACUUGUGCUUACUGUCACAACUUCCUUGAGAAUUCACUUCAUAUUCUCAGAGAUUGUGAGCAAGCUAAAGAGGUCUGGAAUUUUCUCCACAUGCCUGAUUCUUUCUUUUCUCAAAAUUUCCAAGACUGGUAACUUACCAAUCUCUCUUUCAAACCUCCCCCUUCCCCUGAGAUUCAUCUACCUUGGAAAACCCUUUUCUCUUUUGUAAUCUGGAAGUGUAAUGAUAGUAUCUUCAACCAAUCUAACCAACCCUUAGACUCGUCCCUCAGAUAAGCCCAAGCUCUAGCUUGGGAAUAUCACACCUCACUGAAGAUCGCUUUGGGUAUUUCUACUACCAUCCCCUCCGUUUCUUGCUGGAAACCGCAUGUCCAACCUUAUCUCAAGCUUAAUUGUGAUGUAUCCUUCUUCUCAGAUGGGGCUUGGGCUGGUGUGGCUUGUGUUAUUCGCGACUUUUCAGGUUCUUGGGUGUUUGGGUUUCAGCAAAAGUGUAGAGUAAAAUAUGUUAGUAUGGGAGAAUUGCUUGAUAUUUCUACAAGGUUGCAAUUAGCUCUUGACAAGGGCUGGUCAAAGAUUGAAGUGUGUUCAGAUUCGAAGCAAGUGUUCGAGCUCAUCCAUGGUGCCAUGACUGUUAAAGAUGUUAAUUCGACAAUUCUAAAAUCUUGCAGGGACCGACUAGAGAGAUUGCAUGAGGCUAGGCUUUAUUUUGAAGGUAGGAAUGCUAACAGGGCAGCUGACUUACUAGAUAAGCAUUGUAGGAAGUUUCCGAAUCAGGAUGUAUUACUUGUAUUGUUGUAUGAUCCACUUGACUUUAUUCGGGAUGUAAUUUGGGAGGAUAAAUCUCCUUAACUCUUUUGUACUUUUGAACUUUUAAUCUAUUUUCCUGGCCCUGGCUUUGCAUCAAAAAAAAAAAAAAAAA